GCCAGGCAUGGUGGUGCACGCCUGUGGUCCCAGCUACUUGGGAGGCUGAGGCAGGGGGAUCGUCUGCGCCCAGGAGUUCGAGGCUGCAAUGAGCUAUGUUUGUGCCACUGCACUCCAGCCUGGGCAACAGAGUGAGACUCUGUCUCUA
rnacentral:sRNA from 1 species